GCAUGAGUGCUACCUCCUUGUUUGGCAUUGUUUCCACGUUACAAAAUGUCACUAAGUUAUCCAGGAUUUCAGAUGAACAAUUUUGAAAACUCAUGUUAAUCUAAUCUCAUGUAAAACAUGGUACAAGAAUAUUCUUAAAAAAGAAGCUUGAAUAACCAGCACUGUGUGAGCCAUGCUGUCUUCCUAGUCACUUGAAAUAACAACAGACAUCUUCCAUGACGUCUUCCCGCCAAAAGCUAUACCUAAACUCUUCCACAAAAAUCUACUAUAUCUUUUUCAUUUUUUCUGAUGAUUUAGGGAACUGUUUCAUGUUUUAAUAAUGAGGACGCUGCUGGUGAACCAAGCAGCACAAACAACCCAAGAGAAGUAUUCUAACUUUUGGUACUCUUGGAGAACACCAUCCGAAAAAAGAGUAACAGUAGUCAACGCCAUGAUCUGCAUUAUUCCCAUGUGUGUAAAAGAAACCCACUAAAUCGUCAGAACAUUUCUUACCUUGGAAAGCAGCAAAUGGUAAAUCAGAAAAUAAUUGAGCAAUACCUUGGCUGCAGCAUUGGUCAGGACACAUUGGUUCAUUCAUAUUCCAGUUGCUGGUGGAUGAACGCAACAACUUAAUCGCAGUGUUUCCCGUGAGUAUAGCGGUAAAUAGAAGUUUUCCUGGAGCCACAUGUUUACCAACAGCUUUUACCGACACGUAACGAUUGUUUCUGAAGAGUUUCACCAAAGAAUCCGCUGGCCUUGGUGAUGCAUGAGAAGAGUGUCAUUGCCGUCCAAAGUGUAGGUCUCUGAAGCGCAUUUGAGUCCAGUAUCCAUGAUGAUCCAGUACCUUCUGUUUUUACUGUGUUCGUACCAUUUUCCAGCAUACUUUCAAAAUUGAGAAUCACAGACACCGUCCCAGCGUCAACGUCUGGCUAUUGACGAAGCCAAUCGUCAUCGAAGCCAACAUUAGAACAAUAACAGGAUGCAUUUGACUGUUUUUAAACUCGGACUUGACUGAAUCGACAAAACAGAAUUCAAGGUUUG